UUGCAUCAGGGGUAGGGGAGCGUUGAAUGCGGGUUGAAGGUGUACCGGAAGGAGCGCUGGACUGCAUUCAAGUGAGAAUGCCGGUAUGAGUAACGAAAAGAUCUGUGAGAAUCAGAUCCGCCGAAAGCCUAAGGGUUCCUGAGGAAGGUUCGUCCGCUCAGGGUAAGUCGGGACCUAAGGCGAGGCCGAUAGGCGUAGUCGAAGGACAACAGGUAGAAAUUCCUGUACCACCGUAAUCCGUGAUGAGCGAUGGGGUGACGCAGUAGGGUAGUGACGCGGACUGAUGGAUGUCCGUCUAAGCAGUGAGGCUGAUGUGUAGGCAAAUC
rnacentral:rRNA from 1 species